rnacentral:sRNA from 1 species
AGAAGAACAAAUUGAAC